UCGAGAAUCUUUCACAAUGGGGGCAACCCUGAUGGAGCGACGCCGCGUGGAGGAUAAGGUCUUCGGAUUGUAAACUCCUGUCAUGCGAGAACAAAGCCUCACGGCCUGAUAGUAUCGCAAGAGGAAGAGACGGCUAACUCUGUGCCAGCAGCCGCGGUAAUACAGAGGUCUCAAGCGUUGUUCGGAAUCACUGGGCGUAAAGGGUGCGUAGGCUGCGUGGUAAGUCAGAUGUGAAAUACGAAAGCUCAACUUUCGAAAUGCAUCCGAUACUACCAUGCUAGAGAACUGAAGGGGAGCUUGGAAUUCUCGGUGUAGCAGUGAAAUGCGUAGAUAUCGAGAAGAACACCCGUGGCGAAGGCGAAGCUCUGGUCAGUAUCUGACGCUGAGGCACGAAGGCUAGGGGAGCAAACGGG
rnacentral:rRNA from 1 species